UGUAAAAUGUGUAAAAUAUGAUAGUUUUCUUCUCCAAUACAAGGAAAUACAUGGCUUGAACAAAACUGAUAAUGAUUCAUCACUUUGGUACAAUAGAAAGAGAAAAUCCAUUCUCAUGUUAUUUGGAGAUGUUCCCUACCAAAACAUUGAUAUGGUGAAUUAGAACAAUUAAAUAGCUUAAUUAUUCAAAGUCAAAGCCUUUCUUAUCCGUAUAAAAAUUUGCAUGAAGACAUAUAUAACAUGUCACAUUUAUAGACAAGUAUAUUUAUGUUUGUUGAUAUUAUCAUUUAUGAUUCAAUUUUAAUGUAUUAACAAAAUUUAAUUGGUUGUUUUCAUAUACAUCUCGACACAAGUCUUUGUCUUUGUUACCUAUAAUAAUAAGACAAUGAUGGUCAUUGCACUUCAAGCUGAAUACAAGGAAAGAAAAAUAUUGAAAUGUGUCUCAUCACAACCUUACUAAUUGAGUUAGUGUUUAAUGUCCACUUUUGAGAGAUUAAAAAACAGUUAAAGGAAAAUGAUUUGUUGAAAAAGAUGGAACUAGUGAUGAACGUUUUCCCAAUUAUUAAAAU
rnacentral:lncRNA from 1 species